CCCGCCGUCUCCAUUCACAAAUCAAACUAAAAAAACCUAAACCAUCUCCUCCUGCAUGCGCCGCUCGGACAUUCGGGUUGUUUUGAGGCUUCGCGAACCUCCCCAGGGUUCCGAUCACGACGGAGCAAGCGGAGACUUAGUAUUUCAGGUACGGCCGUACGGAGCAGUGGACGUGGAGGCGUGGCACAUGGCGGCGGCGCACAUGCGAGGGAAGGCUGAGAGGUGCUGCUGCUGCUGCGCUGUGAGCCAUUGCUGCUAGGGUUUGUGUUUAGGGAAUGUUUUGGGCUAGGUUGGGCCGUGUCAGGCUUUAGGUAUUGGGUUUUUGUUAAUUGGACUUUGGGUAUGUAAUUUCGGGUUUUUUUAAAUUGGGUCAAUGUAAUGGACAUUUGGACCUUAUUUAUUUAUUUAUUUAUUUUUGAAAUGUAUGUGGGCCGGGCAAAUUUAGGCUAUUACACUACUUAUAGAGAACAAAUUUCUCUACAGUUUUAUCUUUGUUUUUAAGCAAAUAUACAUAGCAAUAUUUUGUGCUAUCAUCAAUGAAUGUAAUAAAAUAUUUAUUCA